UUUUAAGUCUAAUCUGCUCAAUGAAUAAUAAAUUUUAAAUAGCUGCAGUAUAUAUAACUGUACUAAGGUAGCAUAAUCAAUAGUUUUUUAAUUGGAAACUAGAAUGAAGGAUUUAAUGGAAUAUAAACUGUUUCAAAUUUAAUUAUUAAAUUUUUUUUUUUAAUAAAAAAAUUAAAAUAUAUUUUAAAGACGAGAAGACCCUAAAGAAUUUUAUAAUUAUUAGAAUUAUUUAAAUAUUUAAAAUUUUUUUAUUUAUUUUAUUGGGGAAAUAUUAAAAUUUAUUAAAUUUUUAAUUAAGUUAAACAAUUAUUUUUGAAUACAAAUUAUUUAUUAAAAAUUUAAAUUAAAUUACCUUAGGGAUAACAGCAUAAUUUUUUUUUUAAGAUCAUAUUUAAAAAAAAGUUUAUGACCUCGAUGUUGAAUUAAGAAAAAUUUAAUUGUAAAAGAUUAAAAUUUUAAGUCUGUUCGACUUUUAAAUU
rnacentral:rRNA from 1 species